UACAGGGGGUGCAAGCGUUUGCUCGGAAUUACUGGGCGUAAAGCGUGCGCAGGCGGCGCGCCAAGUCGGGGGUGAAAGCCCGGGGCUCAACCCCGGAAUUGCCUUCGAAACUGGCGUGCUUGAAUGCGGGAGAGGGUCGCGGAAUUCUUGGUGUAGAGGUGAAAUUCGUAGAGAUCAGGAAGAACACCAGUGGCGAAACGCGGCGGACCUGGCCCGACAUUGACGCUCAUGGCACGAGAGCCGUGGGGAGCAAACAGG
rnacentral:rRNA from 1 species